UGGGGGAUCGUCUAAUGGUAGGACGAUUGGCUCUGGACCAAUUGAUCGGGGUUCGAAUCCCUGUCCCCCAG
rnacentral:tRNA from 1 species